rnacentral:misc_RNA from 1 species
UGCUCCGUUCGAGAUAGACCAUAAAUCAUGAGUUCAAGAUAGAUUACAAAAAAGCGCAAUGAUUUUUCCUCGUUACGUAUAUAGUCACGAAAGCAAAAGCAGCACGUGGAAAGAUUUUGUACUUCGUUAGAACUGCGGGAAUUUUUUGGUAUUCUCAUGUAUGCUCCUGUGGAAUGAGAUAUAAACGGAUACAAAUAUGGCAAAUUUUGAAAGCGAAGGAAGUGCAAGUGAAAAAAAAUUGAACGAAAGUAAUAACAGUAUUGGUGGAGAAAAUUCUCAAGAUUCUCAAGAAGAAGUCGAAAAUAUCCGAGCCGAUGAAGAACAAAAAGAAAAGUUAGUGAAGUUACCACUAGGUAGAAUAAAAACAAUUAUAAAAAUGGAUCCCGAAGUAAACAUGAUUAACCAAGAAGCAGUUUUCUUAAUUACAAAAUCUACGGUAUACUUUGCUGCACGUGAAAGGAGAUUCAUGCAGGUCGACAACCUAGACAGAUUUUUAACCACGAGUGAGAUAACCCUAUACAUUUUCAUAACCAUACACAAACCGGAACAAAAUAGAAAUGUACUCGAGAGCAAAUCUGGUUUUCAUGAGAAAAAUGGUUGCCAAAAGAACGGGUCUCUAUCAGUAUAUCCACGAAAUGAAGUGAGAAAUGAUAAGCAGAUGGUAACAUAUUCAAGUCGCCAAAAACCGAUUCACAAAUGUUUCUUAUUGCGAAAAGAAGUUUAUUUGUAAAAUUUUGUUAGAAUCGGACCAAGACGGUUUUCCGAAGUUUUGCUACAUUUUCCGAAGUGGUCAUUCUACUGUCUAGAUGGCUGAGCAUUUUGAGGUCCUGUGAUGACCAUCAGAUUCAUCGGUAAAGAAGAGUACUGUUAUCAGAGCCGUCGGUCAAGAAAAGUUCUGUUUGCAAAUUUGAACAAAUGAUCAAUGUGUAAAGCAAUCGUAGUUUGAUCGUUUUCAAUCAUCAUCAUAUUAUAACGCAGAAACAUAUCCGACUGCGCAGGGUGUCAAGGUUUUCAUGAGAUAACCGCGGAUCCUGGGCAACAAAUUUUCGAACAAUAAAAAUUGCUCCAAUUUAAAAACUAAUUACGUCAUCAUUAAGAGUGGUCCAUUAGACUUUUCUGAGUUAAACCUCUUUGUAAAAAAUUUACUGUGCAUGUCUAUCUUUUACGGUUUAGGACUGCGCAGGAGGUCAAGAUUAAAUGAUUAAUUCCCCGUGCACAGCACAGGCGUUCCACAAGUUAAUAAUUAAAUGAUUAAACAAUAAGUUUAAUUCAGUUAGGCACUGUAUGAAAAGUGGUGAAAAUAAAGAAAAAUUA